ensembl:lncRNA
UUUGGUCUCGGCUGUUUUCUGAGAUGGUGUGCUGUAUAGCUAGAGAGCUUCCUUAUCAGGAAUAAUCAGCCAAGCAAGAAGCUCAUGUUUCCAGGCCCUGCCGAUAGAAUAGCUAACAAUACUGAAUCAGGACCUUAUGUGAUCCUGGUACUCAGGAGAGCUGCAAGUUAAACAUCAGAAGAAACCAUCCAAUUUGGCAUUAACUUUGUGUCCUUGACACUGAAAUAUUGUUUCCUAUGGUGUCUUCAUCCAGAUCAAUUCUAAGUGCCCUGCACACUUUCCUUACCAGGCAUUUUGACAACAUAACCUUCUGAUACUGAGGCGUGAUUUAUACAGAUAUUGAAACUGUCCCUCCUGAAUUUUCAUACCUACUGUCUUAUACUGUGGAUAUCAUCCUAAAUAAUUCUUCUUCUGUUGUUAUUGUAUGUACCCUCCAAAGGCUUGAGAUGGCAAUAUCUCUUCUUUUACAACUUGAAAACCAAAUUGUGUGUAAUGCUUAAGCAAAUUAAUCACUGUUUAUUCCCUGAGGUUUUUUUUUUCUUGAAACUCUAGUGAAUGGUCAUUAUUUUCAGCCAUGUCUGCAUUAGUUGCCAGAGUGGCAAACUACUAUUUACUGCGUGGACCAAAACUAUUAACAGUGUAUUUGUUGUAAAGCAAAACUUCAGAAUGACUCUGGUCAUGCAAAUGCAAAACUUGUGAGUUCAAAUACAUUUCCCUGUCCUGAGUUACGUAAAAGGGGCCAACACAGUUGACUUCUAAUAUUGUGUCCGCUCUACAAACCAAAGAGUAAUAAAUGAGGAUGAGUGAGAUGUAUUUUCAAAGCACACUCCUAUCCCAUCUGAGACAGUGCAAGAAAGGCAAUGCCAGAUAACCAGUUCUAAAUGAACCAAAGAAGGGGUGAUGUUCAUAAUCCAGUCAAAGAAAUGUUUGUUUACUUGUUCCAAGUAUCAGGGCUUGCCAAAUACUCCAAGAAAUGAGAUCUCCAGGUUGAGAUCCUUCUCCUGUGGUAGCCAGCCCUUAAAUAAGGCUUAGGGAGGUGAAUUGCAUUCCCCGUGCUCCCAGGGCUGGCUGUGUCCCUUCACCAGGUACUCAGUCAUUGUUUCAGGCUGUGACUUAACAAUUCCCCUUAUCUCUGCAGCUCAAAGUGUCCUUGUCAAAAUUCACCAUGGCAGAUGGAAAAAGCCAAAUUUCAAUUGAAGUUACUAUACACUAUCUUACAGGCUUUUACUGUUUUGCCAGACUUCAUUUUUUUUAUUUAACACUCCUGCUACAGGUUGUAUAUUCUCAAAUAUAUUCAGUUGUAUCUUCUCUGAUCAGAAUCUUAUAUAAGGCCCUACUUUUUGUAAUGGUAAGGACUAGUCACUGAAACAAUGUACCUGGGGUCAUGAUAAACUCUCUAAAAUGUGAAGCUUUUAAAUUAAGAUUUGAUUUAUUUCUCAAAUAGAGGUCCUUGCUCAUCCUGAAGUUAUGAAAUUGAUGCAGGAAUCACUUCUUAAAAUUCUGUGGCUUGUGCUGUUCAGGAGGUCAGUCUGUGUUAUUAUAGUUCCUGCUGGUCUUAAAAUUUAUGGAACUACAAAACAUUUUAUAUAUUUUGUGUAUAUUAUUAAUUCUGUCUCUUUAUAUACUGUUUCUCUUUCCUUGGAGGUUUUCAUAACACCUUCCAAAUGAAUUUAGUAUUGUCUCUGAAUUUUGUUUAUGUACUGUGUAUUCAACUGAAUACAUUGUCAUUUAUCAGUGCACUGUUUGUGGUCCUUCAGCAAGCUUUCAUUCUAUGUGACAGUGUUCAUAUCCAUGCCAAUUUGAUUUUUUUGUGAGUAGAAUUUCAUUUGAUGCUAUAUCAAAUAUUUCAAUAAAAAGCUAGAUACAUUCCAUCUACUUCAUUCCCCCGUUACUUCAUUAAAAUAAAGUAUUCAGAUUUGUCU